GUAGGUGGCAAGCGUUGUCCGGAAUUAUUGGGGCGUAAAGCGCGCGCAGGCGGUUCUUUAAGUCUGAUGUGAAAGCCCACGGGCUCAACCGUGGAGGGUCAUUGGAAACUGGAGAACUUGAGUACAGAAGAGGAAAGCGGAAUUCCACGUGUAGCGGUGAAAUGCGUAGAGAUGUGGAGGAACACCAGUGGCGAAGGCGGCUUUCUGGUCUGUAACUGACGCUGAGGCGCGAAAGCGUGGGGAGCAAACAGGAUUAGAUACCCUGGUAGUCCACGCCGUAAACGAUGAGUGCUAAGUGUUAGGGGGGUUUCCGCCCCUUAGUGCUGCAGCUAACGCAUUAAGCACUCCGCCUGGGGAGUACGGCCGCAAAGGCUGA
rnacentral:rRNA from 1 species